rnacentral:rRNA from 1 species
GAUGCACCAGGCACGAAACCUUUACAAUGCACUAACGUGCGAUAAGGGGACUCCGAGUGUAAUCUUCCCACAAGGAAGGUUACUUUUCUGCACUGUAAGGAGGUGCCGGAACAAGGGGUGGGCAACACUGCUGCCAGCCGCCGCGGUAAUAGCAGGACCCCAAGUGGUAGUCGUUAUUAUUGGGCUUAAAGUGUUCGUAGCCUGUCAUGUAAGUCCGCUGUGAAACCCACGCGCUCAACGUGUGGAUGUGCAGCGGAUACUGCAUGGCUAGGGACCGGACGGCGUCGAGGCUAUUCCAGGAGUAGGAGUGAAAUCCAAAAAUUCCUGGAGGAGCACCUGUGGCGAAAGCGCUCGACGAGUAC